GCCUUCGUGGUGUAGGGGUCAGAACGCUCCGCGCGUACUCCAGAGGUCCGUGGUUCGAAUCCCGGCGAGGGCA
rnacentral:tRNA from 1 species